GACGAACGCUGGCGGCGUGCUUAACACAUGCAAGUCGAACGGUGAAGCUCCAGCUUGCUGGAGUGGGUCAGUGGCGAACGGGUGAGUAACACGUGAGCAACCUGCCCCAGACUCUGGAAUAAGCGCUGGAAACGGCGUCUAAUACUGGAUACGAGAUCAAGCCGCAUGGUUAUGGUCUGGAAAGUUUUUCGGUUUGGGAUGGGCUCGCGGCCUAUCAGCUUGUUGGUGAGGUAAUGGCUCACCAAGGCGACGACGGGUAGCCGGCCUGAGAGGGCGACCGGCCACACUGGGACUGAGACACGGCCCAGACUCCUACGGGAGGCAGCAGUGGGGAAUAUUGCACAAUGGGCGAAAGCCUGAUGCAGCGACGCCGCGUGAGGGAUGACGGCCUUCGGGUUGUAAACCUCUUUCAGCAGGGAAGAAGCGAAAGUGACGGUACCUGCAGAAGAAGCACCGGCUAACUACGUG
rnacentral:rRNA from 1 species